UAUGAAAGUGCAGUGGAGCCAUCACGAGGAGCGGGAGGCGACUUGGGAGUCUGAGACGGUGAUGAGGGAAGCUUACCCCUACCUGUUUGAUGCCUGAGCAGAGGCAAAAGGGAGCUCGGAUUCGACGCCGACGACGCGCCGCGGAGCCGCUUGAGCACACUUUUGACGCCGGGGCAUUACGAGGAGACCGGGCGAGCGUGCGACUUCACUGUUCUUGACGUCACACCGGUGCUAGUCACUGUCGAGGUGAGUGUUCAGUUGGAAUAGCUUCGAAUACUUCGGGUAUCAUCAAAUUUGAGCUUAAAUGCCGUUUUGCUGUUUUUCGCCGUCGACCGUUGGUAUUUCAGCUCGUUCUCGACGUAGGAGCAUCGGAUUGCGACGAGACUUGGCUCUUUGGAUUCAGGACUUCGAGAGGAAUCCAAGAAGCCCUUACUUGCUGGAUUUGGUGGAGAGCUCGAGCGUGGACGAUUUCUGGACUCGGAGCUGUGCGUUUGAUCCAGCAAGUUGCUCUACACCAGAGGGAGUCCUUCGCUGCCAGAGAUUAGCGUUUGAGAGCCACAGGUGCCGGCUGCUGCAUCUUCUGCCGAUCAGG